UAAGUAGGUAGUUUCAAUGUGUUCCCAGGUGUUUCUUUUACCUUUCUCCCCCCCAAACUAUUAGUGUGUCACCUGUGGAGCGGUAGGCAGGUAGGUGUGUGUGUGUGUGUGUGUGUGUGUGUGUGUGUGUGUGUGUGUCAUUAAGGCCACCCCACACACACAUACAAACAUACAUACACUAUCUCUCUCUCCCUCUCUCUCAGGGGUGAGUAAGAGGGUUAGAAUCGACACAAGAGUCAUGUCAUAUAUACACACAUGGGUCUACCCCCUUGAGAGCUUUGUCACGUCUAUAUUUACUCAGGUAUUCAUACGGUACAGUCAGAUGAUAUAUGGUGAAGUCUGGCAGGUAAACACUUAAGCAGUUCCUCGUGUCACAUGUAUUUGUGUUUUCCUUUCCUCUACUUUCACUUUUUUUCUCGCCACUUUCACAAUCUUUUCUUCGUAUCUUUAGCUGUUGUUGCUAUUAAGUUUCUUCUUCCUCCGUUUCCUCCUCCGCCUCUUCCUCGUCUUCCUCCUUUUCUUCUUGUGUUUCUGUGUCUUCCCCCGCCUCCUCUUCUUUCUCCUCCUCCUUGCUUUUCUCGUUUCUUCCUCCUUUUCCUCGGGUUUCUUUCUCCGUCUCCUCCUCCUCAUCGCCUUUCUAUACUCCGUUUUCUAUAAUUCGCUGCGCGGUGGCCGAGGUGUGUUAGGGAAGUCGUAUUGAAGGCACUGUUGUUCUUCCUUUCUUUAGCUUGGCGUGAGGCGUUAGGAAAUAGAAGAUGCACUCAUGUCCUUGGGCACCGAAUCGACAUCAGCCAAAUUCAUCAUAUUCCUCCUCCUCCUCCUCCUCCUCCUCUUCUUCAUCUCCCCUAAUAUGUUGUGGUGUUGGUGUGCACGGGUCCACCCUCCAAUAUCACCUCAUUUAUCCCUUUUUCUUCAUAUAUACAUUCUUUUCCAUGCAUCAAGGCCGUUUGGGUGGAGCCUAAGACGCAAACUGGAAGGGGUAGGGUGUUUUGUUAGGGGGGGAGAGGGGGGCAUGGAGGGGGGAAAGGAAGGGACGUGCAGAGAGUGAAAAAAAGAAGUGGGGAUCGUUGUGCUAUAUACGGGCAAUGAGGAGACUGGGAAACUGGCAUAUGGUCGCGUGUUGAGUGGAUUACCUACCUUUUUUUUAUCUCCUAUAUCUGUAAGUAGCUCAUGUAUCUGUAAGUAUCUCAUGUAUCUGUAAGUAUCUCCCUUGGUGGCUGCUCCUAGUCUCCUCUUGUUGUUGUUGUUGUUGUUGUUGUUAUUGUUGUUGUUGUUGUUGUUGUUGUUGUUGUUGUUGUUGUUGUUGUUGUUGUUAUUGCCUAUAGCUCCGGUAGACUUUCUUGAGUGGGCUCAGAAUUACACGCAAAAACUUUCUUAUGCUAAUUCUAAUCGAAGGUGAUCAGUCUUGUAUUAACGAAGGAUUUUUAGGCAACAAACUAUGAUAAUUCUGAUGGAAGGUGAUCAGUCUUGUAUUAACGGAGGAUUUUUAGGCAACAAACUAUGAUAAUUCUAAUGGAAGGUGAUCAGUCUUGUAUUAACGGAGGAUUUUUAGGCAACAAACUAUGAUAAUUCUAAUGGAAGGUGACCAGUCUUGUUUUAACGGAGGAUUUUUAAGCAACAAACUAUGAUAAUUCUAAUGGAAGGUGACCAGUCUUGUUUUAACGGAGGAUUUCUAGGCAACAAACUAAAAAUUAACCGCCACUUUAAAUUAAACUCGCCCGCAACACCAACGGACCGGGGUCGUGGGGUCGUGGGGUGGCGGUCGAAUUUUAUUUAUAGUGGAUGUUAAUUUAGAGUUGGUUGCUUAAGAAGCCUCGGUUUGUAAAAAGAAAGGCUGAUCACGUUCAUUAAAAUUAUCAUAAGAUCAAUUUUGCGAGUAGUUUUGAUGAUUGAUAAAUGUUAAUGUUUCAAAUGUUUCAAAUGUUUCUCUGUCGUUCGUUUUGAUUUCGUCUCUGUCUUGCAAUCCCAUUUUUCAUUCCUUUCACUACAGACAGACAGACAGACAGACAGACAGAGAGGUUCGCCGUCAGUAUCUCUUCGUCAAUGUAAACAGAAAACUGGUGGGUCGCCGUCUGUGUGUAUGUGUGUGUGUGUGUGUGUGUGUGUGUGUGUGUGUGUGUGACCUCGCGUGAAGGACCUUGAGAAUAACUUAUUAAUCAUUUUUUUUUUUCCUCCCUUCGCUGGUAUGUGCGGUAGCCGGGGAGAGAACACGGAGGCCCUUCACGGGAGGAAGAGUAAGCAAAUAACCGCGGAGGGAAGGAGGGAAGAACAAGGAGGAGGAGGAGGAGGAGGAGGAGGAGGAGGAGGAGGGUAUCGUUGUGUGUAAGUAUAAUAUAGGGCAGUAGGUCCUCUGUGUGUGUGUGUGUGUGUGUGUGUGUGUGUGUGUGUGUGUGUUGUAGAAGGGAUAUGGGUGACUUAAUUAAUGACGAGGACGAGGACGAGGACGAAGAGAAGGAGGAAGAGGAAGAGCAGGAGGAGGAAGAAGAAAAUUGGACCUUUUAACACAUCACGUUUGUUUAAUCUCUUCUCCCCUCCCUCCUCCUCCUCCUCCUUCUCCUCCUCCUCUUCCUCUUUUAUCUCCUUGCUUUUCUUCCUUCAGUUUUCAUUAUACAACCUCUUCCUCCUUCUCCUCUCGUCUCCUCUUUCCUUGAUCUUCUUUUCUCAUUUUUCUUUCUCUCCUUUCUUCAUUCCCUUAUUCCCCCUUUCUUUCUCUCUCAUUUCCUUCUCUUUAUCUCCUUCCUUCUCCGUCUUUCUCUCCUCUUUCAAUUUCCCUUUCCUUCGUCUUUUCUCCUCCAUUUUUCUUCCCUUUUUCCUUUUGUCCUCCUUUCCUCCCAUUUUCUUCUCUCUUCGCUUUUUAUCCUAUUCUUCCUCUUCCUCUCGUCUCCUUCUCCUUUUUGUCUUUCUCUCCUCUCAUUCCUAUAUUUCCUCCUCUCUUUAUCCCUCCCAUUUCCUCUCUUCUCUCCCUUCUCAACCAUUACAUAUCCCAAGUCUCUCUCUCUCUCUCUCUCUCUCUCUCUCUCUCUCUCUCUCUCUCUCUCUCUCUCUCUCUCUCUGUUCCUAUAAGUGUAUGUAUGUAUGUAUGAAUUAGAUGGUGUUGGAUUCCAGUCUCAAACGUUCCUAUUGGUAUUCUUAACCGUAGCGCCGCGCCCAAUGUCACCACCUGUUCUCCUCCGCCCCGCCCCGCCCCGGCCCACGUGUGCAUCUAUUAGCCCAAAGUGUCAUACCAACGCAGUGAUUGUUACUCUGUUUACGCUAAUCUACACAAGCCUCCCCCCCUCCCUUCCCCCCUGUCUCAUCUCUCUCCCUCAUCCCUUCCCCUGCCACCUAUUGCCCCGGCCUUCGCCUCCACGUCCCACGCCCCGUCUCAGCACAAACGUUCGAUCCAUGAGGAUAUGUUGAACCACCUGUGUUGCAUUGCGUUGUUUGUUAUGCUGAGUGAUUUUUUUUCUAAGGUUCUGCUUGUAGCGAUGGUAGACUCUCUUGAUGGGACCUCUUAGACGGCCCCAGCCCUUUAGUGGCUCAGGCGAAUUUUAUUUAUAGUGGGUGCCGUGAUGCAUGACUCUUUGUUUAGCCCAUGCUGCCCCCCGGUGCUCCACUUGAAUGCAGUCGCUGAGGCAAAGGUUGAUUGAAUAUCCGGGCAGCAUGUGAGUAAUCUUCCGCGACUCGCCCAUGCCUUGAAAAAUCAGCGUGUUUUAGUGGGACUCGAACCUAUGUCCACGGGCUCACCACGUCCACACGAUGACCACUCAGCCACCGCCCUUUUGAUGUGAAACCAGCUUCGAUUUUCCCUCUUCUCCUCCUCCUCCUCCUCUUGAUUCUCUUUACCUUCGUCGUCUUUUCUCCCUUUUUCUUCCCCUUCAUCUCCUCCCAUAUACCUCUUCCUCUCUUAUCCCAGUCCCUUCUCUUCCCUCCUUCACUAUAUAAACCCUGCUUCCUCCUCUCUCCUAUCUCUUCACCUUCAGACUGUAUAUUCCUCUACGUUAGGUCACCAGGCUGUGUGUGUGUGUGUGUGUGUGUGUGUGUGUGUGAUGGUGGAAUGUUGAGGGUACGUUGCAUGGACAGCCAGUAGUGGUGAUGGUGAUGGAUGAGAGGUGACGGGAAGUGAGGAUGGGACGAGGGGAGGAUAGGUUGUCAGGUGAUGGUACGUAGCGUUUGGGUGAUGGUGCGCUGAGGGGUGAUGUGACACGUCCUAUACAGGUUUUGAUCGUAGGUUCCGACACUUUCCGAUGAUAAAAGUGUAGUGUAGUUCAAGAUACUGUAUUCGAUUUCCUUUCUUCAUAUCUUUUUCCUCUCACGUUUCUCGCUUCUAUUUCUUUGGUACAUUAUUUUUUUUAGCUAGUGAUAAUAGAAAUGAGUCUAGUCUAGUUCAUGUUACAGUAUUUCAUUUCAUUUUUUUCAUGUUUUCUCUCUCAAAUCUGCCUCAUGUUUCUUGUUUUUUAUUCGCUUGCAUAUUUUUUUUCUAUUUCUCUGGCACGUGCUAUGUAGUCUCAGUCAGUCAGUCAGUCAGUUAGUCAGUCAGUCAGUCAGUCAGUCAGUCAGUUAGUCACUCAGUCAGUCAGUCACUCAGUCAGUCACUCAGUCAGUCAGUCAGUCAGUCACUCAGUCAGUCAGUCAGUCAGUCAGUCAGUCAGUCAGUCAGUUAGUCACUCAGUCAGUCAGUCAUCAGUCAGUCACUCAGUCAGUCAGUCAGUCAGUCACUCAGUCAGUCAGUCAGUCAGUCAGUUAGUUAUUCGGUUGAGGUCCCAGGCUGUUCAAGAAGAGUACCAAGGAAGGGAAGUAAAAGGAGAUGAAAAAGGAGGAGGAGGAGGAGGAGGAGGAGGAGGCGAUGGGUGCAGUAUGAAUGAAAUAUAAGUGAAUGAAAGGGAUGCGUUUCUAUGGGACUGUUGACUCUUAUAGCGGUGUUUGUUAUCAUAAGUUUUCUUCCUCUCUAUUCCUCAUCAAUGCUGUCGUUUUUCCCCUCCUGCAUCCCCUUCUGUUUUUUUCUAUAUUUCUUUUUCGCUUUUAUAUAUAUAUUUUUUACGCAUCAUUAUUUAUUCCUGUAUAUGGUUUGGCUUUCUUUUUUUUUUUCCUUUUCAAUGUUUUUUUCUCUCCUUCAUUCCCUUUUCUUUUUUUUCUAUAGUUCUUCAUCGCUUUUUUAUACUUUUUUUUUUUUACAAAUCAUUUAUUUUUACCUGUAUAUGGUUUGUCUUUUUUUUUUCCUUUUCAAUAUUUUUUUUUCUUCUUCAUUCCCUUUUCUUUUUUUCUAUAUCUCUUCUUCGUUUUUUUAUACUUUUUUUACACCAUAAAUUUUUACCUGUAUAUAGUUUGGGUUCCUUUUCUCACCCUUUUCAAUGCUGUCUUUUUUUUCUCCUGCAUUUCCUUCUCUUUUUUUCUAUACUUCUUUGCUUUUAUAUACUUUCUUAGGUCAUUUUUACUUGUAUAUAAUUUGGCUUUUUCCUUUUUCUUCUUUUCAACGUUGUCGUUUUUUUUUCAGCGUUUUCUUCUCUUUUUUUAUAUUUCUCCGUUUUUUUUUGGGGGGGGGUAAUCCGUUUAUAUAUUAUUUGUUUUUUUAUGUGUGUUUCUUGUGAAAAGUGUAAAUAUGGGGGUGUUAGUAGGAGGGGAUGAGAGAGAGUCCAGUCAGUCAGUUAGUCGUUUUUUUUUUUUUUUACUGUAAAAGAAA